CAAAACCUAUAUCGAGAGGAACAAAGAGGUUGUUAAAACAGUGUGUUGAUGAAGGACAUGCAAAUGAACAUGGAAUUGAGGAAAGAAGGACUAAAUCUAAUCGUGUUUUCGUCGGUGGAGAUCAAUGCGAUCAAAUUAAAUCAAAGAGAUGGAAAACAAGUGAGUGUACUUUAUGUCUUCUGAAAUGUUGAUGUACACAGAGUCUUAGCAAAAUUUGUUGUUUGUUUACAAAUAUAAACUAAUUGAUAUUGUUUGAUUUUUGGUUAUAGUGUCUCAUGUGCAAAUUGCUGAAGCAUCACAUCAAUCUGAGAAUGUCAAUGGAUUUGAGCACUGUGACGAAGGGUUUAGACGCGAGAACCAAAAUAGUACUGCAGUUGUAAACGAAUCUUCAUUUACAAUUACAGAAGGUGAAUGUUCGUUUUCAUUUGGUCAAGCAUCAUAUCAAAGAAGCAAGCAAGCAUUGACUAUGAAAUAUGAAGAUUCGGGUGAUAACUUUUAUACGUGUGAUCAUUGUAAUGCAUCUUUUUGGUUUGGAGAAGCUCUUAAGAGAUCAUCUUCAAAUGCGCCUCUUAUUUAUACGAAUUGUUGUAAAAAAGGUCAAAUCAAAAUUCAACAACCAAAACCAACGCCAGCUUUUCUUGAAGCAUUAUUGGAUCCAGAUAAUGGCCUAGAAAGCAAAAUUUUUAGAGAAAAUAUCAGAGUGUAUAAUUCAAUGUUUUC